GUGAUAAAGUCCCAGGUGCUGCUGUACUAUGGUUUUUGCUUAUAUUUUUAAUGGAAGAAAAUGCUAAAUCCAGUUAGAGGUUAGUGAAAAUAAAGAUGUAGUGCUAUUCUCAUCAAGGCUUUCUAGAUUCUGUCCCCAGAGUCCUUUGGUGUUCUUUAACCGAAGGUUAAGAAACUCAGUAAGAAGGGUGGGUGGGGCAGGAGGGCAACACAUGUUAAUCCUGUUUGUUCUGGAUUGAACGAUUCAGAUCCCCACUUUCUGAGGGUGCCCUGCUGGAAGAUAACCCUGUUUGUAAUUGUGCCGGUUCUUGGACCCCUCGUUGCCUUGAUCAUCUGCUACAACUGGCUGCAUCGAAGACUAGCAGGGCACUUUAUUGAAGAGCUAAGUAAGUUCUCUUUUCUUUCUAUAAGCUGAAAACAAAAAGCCAGGAAAGGGAGCCACAAGCAACAGGAGGAAGAGGGAGGCUAUUGAGGAAUCACAAUCCAAAAUGAGAGGCUGGAGAGCCUGGUGGAGGGAGGACCACUCCAGCGAGGUAGACGGGAAGGAGGUCAGCUGUUAGAGACAAGUUCACAGGUGGCAGAGAGGGAAGCUGGCGCACCCCCACCUCCUGCCUGAUUCGCUCCACCUGCAGUGCCCCUCAGCAGGAACCCCCCUCCAGAUGGCCUCCUCCCACUCUCUAUAGCAGCCGCCCUGUGCCUUUCCCCCAGGACUAGCCACUGAGGCAGGCACAGAGGCAAAUGACCCCAAAGGGCUUUUUGUCUUCCUGGUUCAAUGGUUUCACAAUAGAAACUGCUGACAUAGAUUUUUCAGGUUAUUUUCUCCUUCUUCUAGGAAACCCCUUCUGAGUGAUGUCGCAUUUUCGCGGGGCUGGAGAGCCUGGUUGUCUCAUCCUUCAAGUUGCACACUCACUGGCCUCUCUGCUAUGGGACAUUCCAAUCUGCACUUCCAGGAACACUUUGAAUUCCAAAUAUAAUUGAUUUUCCAUCUUCUA